GGAGAUGAGUUUAUUCACAGAGUGUAUGAGGUCUUGGCUGGAGAGAUGCAGAGCUGAGCUGCUGGCAUAUGCCCUACCCAAAUUUACUCCUGCCCUCAGUAUUCCUCCAAGGGGAUUUUUCCCACAAGCACACCUGGUCACCCAUUCAUACCAAUAGAAAACCAAGAAGAGAUGGAAUCGAUUCAUUAAAACAAAGCAGGACAUUGCAUGAGAAUGGGCCACAGCCUGUCUGGAGCUGAGCUGCUUCACCUCUGGAGUUUCUAACUUCCAGUUCUUCAGGACUCAGUCUCAAAUAGAAAUUUGGGCUGCUAAAGACCCUGAGAUCACCUCCCAUCCACUGCUUGAGAUGUUUGUGUUGCUUUCCUGGGCUGGCCAACAAGAAAGCUGAGGUGGAGGAUGAGUCUGAUGUCCUGGAAAAGCCAUAGAGUCAGACUGAGAGAGCACAGGUAUGGCAGAGCUUUUCAGCUCCUCUUGCUGCACACAGCCUUUUCACAAAGGUAGAGCUGGGACUUGUCUGUGUUUCUCUCUCUGCUGUCCUUCUGAACACCAUUCUGCAUGCAAAUGUGCCCAUGGACUAAAUACCUUGAAGCUCAUCCUUUCCAGGAGAUGCACAAUUACCUCGUCUUCUUCAAGCCUCUGUAUGGCUUAUACUGCAGCUGAUGCCAAAGCACAAGCGAGGGGAAAAACAGUGGUGGAAAUUCAAGGAAAGAAGGAAGCCAGGGCAGCUCUGACAACUUUU